rnacentral:rRNA from 1 species
CCUACGGGAGGCAGCAGUGGGGAAUAUUGCGCAAUGGGCGCAAGCCUGACGCAGCGACGCCGCGUGAGUGAUGAAGGUCUUCGGAUCGUAAACCACUGUCAGCAGGGAGGAACGGUCACUGUGCUAAUCAGCAGUCAAUUGACGGUACCUGCAAAGGAAGCACCGGCUAACUCCGUGCCAGCAGCCGCGGUAAUACGGAGGGUGCGAGCGUUAAUCGGAAUUACUGGGCGUAAAGCGCACGUAGGCGGUUGGUAAAGUCAAGGGUGAAAUCCCCGCGCUUAACGUGGGAACUGCCUUUGAUACUGGCAAGCUGGAGUGUGUGAGAGGGUAGUGGAAUUCCAGGUGUAGGGGUGAAAUGCGUAGAGAUCUGGAGGAACAUCAGUGGCGAAGGCGACCAUCUGGCACAUAACUGACGCUGAGGAGCGAAAGCGUGGGGAGCAAACAGGAUUAGAUACCCGGGUAGUC